UUGUCUUGAAGGGCUCAUCCCACAGAUCUCAUCCCACCCAGCUCAUCCCACUCUCUCACACCACAGAUCAGCUGCCCACGGGUGCAGUGGGUAGGAAGUGGCGCUGGCAGGGAGAGCGGCAAACAGGAAACGGGCUCAGCAGAGCAUCACUCCAGAGCCACCAGGAAUGGAGCCCAGGCUAAGAACAGCAGCAGAGCAGUCUGCAGUGUGGGUCAGCCACUGCUCGGCUGGGAAAGAGUGCUCCCACCACCGGCAGAGCCCCUUGGCCAUGGCCCCCACAGUCGCCAUGAGCUCCCGGGGGAGCUGCCAGGCAGCCAUGGAGUGGGACCUGCCAUCCAGGAAAAGGAGCCCAGGAGGGGCUCUGAGUUGGGAAAACUAAGCAAACACUGCAAGGAACAAAAGCAACUGAGAGCCAAAGGCUGUGAUCCCUGCCAACGUGGGAUGGGGCCAGGACACAGACUCAGCCAACCCCAGGAGUCAAGAGGGUCCCAGAUGCCUCCCGUGCCCGUGCUCCUAUGGGCAACUCCAAACCCUUGGGUGACCAGGGACCCCCAGGCACCACCAGCUGUGCUCCCAGAGCCCCUCAGCAGCCAGAUCUGUCAUUUCUGAGCAGCAGCUUGGCCACGGGGCCAAGGCUAUGGCGAGGCCUCGCUCUGCUGCCUGUGAUCUGCAGAGCCGCCAUCCCCACACCCGCUGACGGGAAGCGGAGGCCCACACACAACUCCUGCUUCCUCGUCAAGCCCUGCCGCGUCCCCAGCUCCGGCCUUGGCUGCCACCAUGCCAGGGAAUGGCGGCAAUGGCUGGGAGAUGGGUGGGAUGGGGGACCACGGUUCCCCCCUCAGACACGUACUCACCGUGAGGCGGCUGCACGGCUGCUACGCGUGGGGCCGGCGAGUGGGAGAGCCUCGCUCGGCCACCGGCCAGGAGCUGCGACCCGAGGAGCCUCCGUGGAGUGUGGGUACCGCUGCCCUGUCCACGUGACGACAGCUUUGAGAAGGGGUGGCUGCCUCAAGCCCCACACCCAAAGCGAAGGCUGUGCUCUGCUCCGGCCAGGCGGCUGCUGGUAACCAGGCUGAAGAGAGGAGAAAAACUAAUGAAAACAGAACUCGGGAAGAAGCGCCAGGCCUGGAGUGGCUUCCGCCCCGAUCCCCAGCAAUUAUCAGCCACAUGCCAGAUGUUCCGAUGCGAUGCCAAUGUCAGAGAAAAUAAAUCUGUGUCGGGUUCAAGGUCCCUGCCGGGCCGGCACGCAGCGGCUCGCGGCUCAGUGCCGCACAAGGCGGGACAGAGCUGCGGGCCGGCCGCGGCCGCUUCCUCCUGCCAGGCAUUGUUCCCCUGGGAAGCCCCGGCCUCACACCGGCCACUUGCUAUUUUUGCAGCAAGGUGCUUUCAGGGGUAAAUACGUCCCUGCCGGCCUUGGGCACUUUCCUCUGCGCGGGCCCUGGCCAAGGCUGUGGCCUGGCUCCUGCGGUGGGCGCGCGGCCGCGGUCAGGGCCAGUCAUGGGCCGCGGUGCAGGCCGGCGGGGCCUGGUGGUGGCGUGAGGGUGGAUUUCGGAGGGUGGAUUUGGGAAGGCCACGCUGGAGUGACUGCACAGCCACCAGGUCAAGCCAGCUCCUGGCAGCCUUAGGGGUUCCCGGGGACAGCAAGAGGUACAGACAGGUGACAUUUUGAAAGCCACAGCACCUAGGAGGGAAAGGAUGAGGUGGGUGUGGCUUUUGGCACCACAGGAUGUGCUGGAGAGUGGAUGUUCAGGGCUGGGGAUAGGCCACAAAGCUGCUGGCGUGAGCAGCGCUGUCCUGGCCAAGGGAGCAGCACGGCUCUGUGCCCUUGAUGGGCCCAAGCACAGGCACAUGUUACCAAAGCUCCAGCUGUGAGUUUGGAGACUGCCCUGCCCCAUCUUCUUCCCUCGUGGCCACGACACAGCCGGAGCCUGCGGAUCCACACCACCCACGGCGGGCAGCAGUAUGCUUUGGCUCCUUGCUGGUGCUUAGCCUUGAUGCUCAGCAAAGCAUAUCUCCUGCUCGGAUUUUAUCUCCAUCCACUCAGCUUAUCGGCACAGGGCAGCCCUCCUGCCUGCGCCACGUUCCCGGAGCGUGCCUGCAGCAGGUGUGGCCAGCACUACUGUUUGCCAAACGCCGCUGCCUGCCCGCAGUCCCUGACUCCAGGGCCCGCGCUGAUAGUGCACGCGCAGCGAGGACUUGGGCGAUAGCGUUCCCAAUGACAUUACCUUGUCCCCCGCAUUCUUCCGAUGCCACACACGCCUUCGCUCGGGGUGCGGGCGGCCCGGCCGUGGCGGUGGGUGCAGAUGCUGUGCAGGCAGCACUGGGAAGUGCUGGUGGUCUCCUCCCGGGGGGACUCAUUGACAUAUCAGUCACAUAGUUCUGCAUAAUUGGGACUUGGAUGCAGCCUCUCUUUAUGUUUCCUCUUGGCAGUUGCCAACAACAUGAAGCACUCCUGGGUCAAAAUGACAGCCUUUUGUUUACUAUUCCUGCUUAUGUGCCUCAUUUUCUUCAAGGAUAAGAGCUCUUUAUAGGAAUCUUUAUUGUGAUGAGGUUAGCCUAGAGAAAGAUUUCUCUCCAGCUUUCUCUCUCUCUUUCACAGCUGAUUAGCAGGGUCGGCCCACUAGGACAGUGAUGUGGAACACAGACCCAGCAUUCGCCUCAGGGUCCCCCCAGCCAUGAGUCAUCUUCUCCAGCACAGCCCCAACCUGCUGGCCUCCCAGCACCCAGCCCAUGGCAGUGCUGCCCUCCUACUCAUGUCAGGAUGCAGGGAGGGGAUCCACAACCCAAAUAAAAGUACUGAAAGACCUCAGAAGCUUGGACAGGAGCUUACCCAGAGCAUACACCUUCUCUCCACAGUCUUACCAGCCCAUCCAUGGUGACCCACCCUUCAUCUGACCUCUGCAGCAGUGACCAACCCCAUCAGAAGGGUCUGCACUUGGCAAACUGAGAUAGGAGAGACUUGUGAUGAACCAAUGGAGACCCACCAGUCUGCUGCACUCAGAACUCUGGUUUUCAGGUGUGAACUCCAAACAGACAGUGACUGGGGAAGGGAUGAGGAGAGAUGUGGGAGCAGCUAGUGACAAGAUGGGGAGAGCUCAUGGAAUAGACACGGGCAGGGUGCACAUGAAUGGAGAACCUUCCCCAACUGUGGAAGAGGCCCCACAGGACCAUCCCAGCAGAUCUUUCACCCACUGCUGGACUGACUGCGCCGCUGCAGGGGGGUGACCCAGCUGACCCCACAGCCCUGUCCCAGCCCAUGCCUAUGGAUGACACUCCUGGGAACAGUCACUCCUGUCAAGAGGAAAGCAGCUUACCCUUGAAAGUUACUUUGCGAAGGUCAAGAGUGGGACUGUGACAGAGCAGCCUGACAAACACAUCUCCCUAAGUCCUUGGGCCCGAUAAUGUAUGUCCCAUGCAAUGUUGACACUAGUGAUCCACCAAAGAUCAGGUUAACAAGUUUGACGUUAGUGACAGUGUGAUUUGUUCCGUGCUGGCUCUGAAUUCAUAGAGCCGCUGGCCUUCAGUGAUAAACUAUUGCGCUGUGCACACGAGGCUGUGGCAGUUGUCACCCGCCGGAGCACGGAGAUGAAAAGGAAGCAGAGCUCUAAUCAAAAUACAGUGGUCAGUAGGGGUUGAGCUGAAAAUUAAAAGGUGCUGGUACUUUUCCCA